AUGGGGUGCAGCAGGCGCGAAACCUUUACACUGCACGACAGUGUGAUAAGGGGAUCCCGAGUGCGAGGGCAUAUAGUCCUCGCUUUUGUGUACCGUAGGGCGGUACACGAAUAAGAGCUGGGCAAGACCGGUGCCAGCCGCCGCGGUAAUACCGGCAGCUCGAGUGAUGACCGAUUUUAUUGGGCCUAAAGCGUCCGUAGCUGGCCGCGUAGGUUCGUCGGGAAAUCCAUCCGCUCAACGGAUGGGCGUCCGGCGAAAACCACGUGGCUUGGGACCGGAAGGCUCGAGGGGUACGUCCGGGGUAGGAGUGAAAUCCCGUAAUCCUGGACGGACCGCCGAUGGCGAAAGCACCUCGAGAAGACGGAUCCGACAGUGAGGGACGAAAGCUGGGGUCUCGAACCAGAUUAGAUACCCGGGUAGUCCCAGCCGUAAACAAUGCCAAUUAGGUGUGGCACCGACUACGAGUCGGUGCUGUGCCGUAGGGAAGCCGAUAAAUUGGCCGCCUGGGAAGUACGUCCGCAAGGAUGAAACUUAAAGGAA
rnacentral:rRNA from 1 species